rnacentral:rRNA from 1 species
AUUGAACGCUGGCGGCAGGCCUAACACAUGCAAGUCGAGCGGUAACACAGAGAGCUUGCUCUCGGGUGACGAGCGGCGGACGGGUGAGUAAUGUCUGGGAAACUGCCUGAUGGAGGGGGAUAACUACUGGAAACGGUAGCUAAUACCGCAUAAUGCCGCAAGACCAAAGAGGGGGACCUUAGGGCCUCUUGCCAUCGGAUGUGCCCAGAUGGGAUUAGCUAGUAGGG